AUUAUGUUGUGAACAUAAUAACCGGGGAUUUUGCAGCAUGGUUUGCCCUCAAACUCCGAAAAGUUACUUGCACUGAAGCAUAAGGCAACAAUCAAUAUUUCAGGGCAAAAGUUCAAUACUUUGGUGAUUGAAAAUUUUAUCUUGAGGCAACCAUCCAGCGUGAAAGAAUGUGCUUUGUCCACAGCAACUAGCAAGUGAGCUUUGUGAAGUGAGGGGCAGCGCGAUGCUACCAACUGGAGAAGCCCCUUCUAGCUCGA